GUAUGUAUAGAGUGGACAAGGCACCUGCCCGGUAAGCAGAAGGGUGUGGGUUCGAUUCCCGCCCCUGGACA